ensembl:rRNA 5S_rRNA 5S ribosomal RNA
GUCUACAGCCAUACCACCCUGAACACGCCUGAUCUCGUCUGAUCUUGGAAGCUAAGCAGGGUAGGGCCUGGCAAGUACUUGGAUGUGAGAAAGAUUUGAUUUUUCAUUGAUGGUUUUCUCAGCUGAGGGCA